CACUCCUACGGGAGGCAGCAGUGGGGAAUUUUGGACAAUGGGCGAAAGCCUGAUCCAGCAAUGCCGCGUGAGUGAAGAAGGCCUUCGGGUUGUAAAGCUCUUUUGUCAGGGAAGAAACGGUGAAAGCUAAUAUCUUUUGCUAAUGACGGUACCUGAAGAAUAAGCACCGGCUAACUACGUGCCAGCAGCCGCGGUAAUACGUAGGGUGCAAGCGUUAAUCGGAAUUACUGGGCGUAAAGCGUGCGCAGGCGGUUUUGUAAGUCUGAUGUGAAAUCCCCGGGCUCAACCUGGGAAUUGCAUUGGAGACUGCAAGGCUAGAAUCUGGCAGAGGGGGGUAGAAUUCAACGUGUAGCAGUGAAAUGCGUAGAUAUGUGGAGGAACACCGAUGGCGAAGGCAGCCCCCUGGGUCAAGAUUGACGCUCAUGCACGAAAGCGUGGGGAGCAAACAGGAUUAGAUACCCCUGUAGUCCCAUGA
rnacentral:rRNA from 1 species